AGCCUUAUAUUCAAAAAUGAUUUAAAAUUGCAAAUUUUAAGGGGUAAAUAAAAUUUACUAAGGCUU
rnacentral:tRNA from 1 species